UACGUAGGUGGCGAGCGUUAUCCGGAAUGAUUGGGCGUAAAGGGUGCGCAGGCGGUCCUGCAAGUCUGGAGUGAAACGUAUGAGCUCAACUCAUGCAUGGCUCUGGAAACUGGAGGACUGGAGAGCAGGAGAGGGCGGUGGAACUCCAUGUGUAGCGGUAAAAUGCGUAGAUAUAUGGAAGAACACCAGUGGCGAAGGCGGCCGCCUGGCCCUGUUGCUGACGCUGAGGCACGAAAGCGUGGGGAGCAAAUAGG
rnacentral:rRNA from 1 species